rnacentral:rRNA from 1 species
UACGUAGGGGGCAAGCGUUGUCCGGAUUUAUUGGGCGUAAAGAGCGUGUAGGCGGUCAGGUAGGUCCGUUGUGAAAACUCGAGGCUCAACCUCGAGACGCCGAUGGAAACCAUCUGACUAGAGUCCGGAAGAGGAGAGUGGAAUUCCUGGUGUAGCGGUGGAAUGCGUAGAUAUCGGGAGGAACACCAGUGGCGAAGGCGGUUGCCUGGAGCUUUGCUGACGCUGAUGCGCGAAAGCGUGGGGAGCGAUCCGG